AGACUUUGUUUUGGCCAAACAUAUUUGGGAACUUGUGGCCAAUUUUGACAGCCCUACUUAGUACGAAGUGUGUCAUAAUGUUUUGGUGCCCAUAUGAGGCGGGUG